AGCGAACGUUGGCGGCGUGGAUUAGGCAUGCAAGUCGAGCGAGAACCGUAGCAAUACGGGGACAGCGGCGAAAAGGACAGUAAUGUGUAGGUACCUACCCCGAGGUCUGGGAUAGCUGCGGGAAACUGCAGGUAAUACCGGAUAAUGUCUUCGGACCAAAGGUGUGAUUCCACCUUGGGAGGGGCCUGCAUCCUAUUAGCUAGUUGGCGGGGUAACGGCCCACCAAGGCGACGAUGGGUAGCGGGUGUGAGAGCACGACCCGCGUCAUUGGGACUGAGACACUGCCCAGACACCUACGGGUGGCUGCAGUCGAGGGUCUUCGGCAAUGGGCGCAAGCCUGACCGAGCGACGCCGCGUGCGGGAUGAAGGCCUUCGGGUUGUAAACCGCUGUCGUAGGGGAGGAAAUGCAGGUGGGUUCUCCCUCCUGUUUGACCUAUCCUAGGAGGAAGUACGGGCUAAGUUCGUGCCAGCAGCCGCCGCAG
rnacentral:rRNA from 1 species